UGGAGACUACUAACGGCCCUCCUGA
rnacentral:piRNA from 1 species